rnacentral:sRNA from 25 species
GUAUCUGAAGUCUGACGAGGAUGAGAACCUCCGGGGGCAAGAGGUUCGACCCGAGCGAAGCGAGAGAACGUUGCGUCAGCAACGGCCCGCAGUGGCAAGUCAUCCUCUGUCACCGGCAG